CAGCUAAGUUUGUCCUUAAACAUCUCCAGGGAGGGUGAGUCUGCCGCCUCCCUGGGCAGUCCGUUGCAAUGUCUUCAUGGAGCGGGGGGUGCACAGAGAGAGUUGAGGCUGAUACAGGGUAAAAAAGGCACGGAGCGAAGAUUCUUACUCGCCCUCAGAGAUUUAUUGCCGCCGUGGGGCGGCUGUGGAGCCAUUCUCAUCUCUCGUUAUGCUUUACCUUCUGCUCCGAGGGAAUGGUCGGGUCUCACUGGGUGAUAUUGCUGAGGGAAGCCGGUAGGAAGUGUGGCAACGGGCGUUGGUGGUAUAGUGGUUAGCAUAGCUGCCUUCCAAGCAGUUGACCCGGGUUCGAUUCCCGGCCAACGCAGCUUUAGUUUUUAUUUCUUUUCCUCCUCGUAAUCUUUUUUCCACCGUUUCUCACCGAUCCGAACCGAAUUGAGAUGCACCGGUACGCGGAGCGCCCACCCGGCUGCGCUUUGCCCACUUGAGCCCCGUCGGGAGGCGGGCGCUGCUCAGCGAUGGGGCGCACGGUGCCCCACGGUUACUUCUCUUCCCAAGUCGCGGUGGAGACCCCGAGUCGUUAGGAGACGCCGGGGAAAUAAAUAAAUAACUCCGAAUUUAAAAGACCUUAAGCCCCUUCAAACCAAAAGAAAAACCCCAAACAACAAGAAAAUAAACCGGCACAAAAAACUACCACGAGAUGAGGGGGGGGAAAAAAAAAAAAAAAAAAGGGGGGAAAAAAAAAAAAAAAAAAAAAAAAAACAGGUGUUUCCGCCCGGGAUCGAACCGGGGACCUUUCGCGUGUGAGGCGAACGUGAUAACCGCUACACUACGGAAACCCGCCAUGAGAGCCAUUCCCCGGGGGUGGCCCAUGUUCCCGCCAUGUUGGCUGAGGGGACGUGAGACUCUCACGGCAACUUCGGAAUAAACCUCCCGCAAACCCUUAGAAAUGCCGCGCGGGAGUCCCAGCGAUUAUCAUCAAUGGCUAAUUGGAGCCCCCAGAGACCCGCUGGCCUCGGGAGGAGGCUGCGGCCCCUUCCAGCCUGGCGAUGGGUGGGGAGAGGAGCCGCAGAGCAGACAGCGCCAGGAGGCAGCUCUCGGAAGGCACCUGUGGGAGGAAGAGGCAGGGAUUCCAUGAAAGGCGUCGUGCUGUCGGUUGGCAAUGCAGAUGUUCAUGUUUAUCUGGCCAUGGGAGGACACGAGAGCAGUGUGCUCAGAGCUAUCAGCAAGAGCCUGAUCUUUCCAGCAAGCUGUUGUCAUGGUCUACAUGAAUUUAUCCAGCUCUCCCUGGAUGCCAUCCCCUUCUCUCUGAGAUGCCAGCCUGCCCUGAGGUCUAACAGCAUUUCUCCAACCUCUCCAGUGGGCCUCUUUUUAAGCCCUGCUGGCAUCACCGGGAUGUGCUGCAGGAGCCAGUAGUCUCCCCCUAAGUGCUGCGGCAGCCGGGAGUCCCUUGGAGCUGCGAGCACAAACCCCACCAAGGACAGGCACACGCCUCGGAGCGACCUCUUCCUCCUCAUUAUGUUGGUGAUGGUCUCGAUGUCAGCGGUUCAAGGGGCACGCGGGGUUCAAUUCAGCGCCGAGAUAAAGGCAGGAGAGGCAUCCCCACUCCCUCGAGGCGCAGCGACUGCGCCGCUCCUUGAUUGUGCCUUUGGCAGACGCCUCAUUAAAAGUGGCUGUUCCACACAAACAUGCCCUUGUCCUUUCGCAGCCGUAAUCUGAGCGUGGAGGGAGAGCUCAGCCCCACAUCGGCGUGUCUGAGGCUGUGCAGACCUUGACUCUAACGAGCUGCUGUUCAUUUGUAGCCUUCUCUGCCCUUCCUGGAGCUGUACUUUCCUGGCGCAUCCUUAACUUACACUGUCUCACCGGCAGUUUGGAUCGUGCCUCCAGCUAAUAGAAUGAAAAUUAACGUUACCCAAACCAAACCCAGGACACUUCUCUUGCAAAUCCUUUGGUCUUAGUCCAAAUAACAUUUCUCCUCACAGAUACACCUCCUGCAUGAAACGUUCCCAUGUAAAACUAACAGGUAGAGGAGACAGACUCUGAAUCUUGCCAUUCCCAUCAUGUAAAUGGUUCAGUGGAAGGU
ensembl:lncRNA